UAAAUCUUAAUAUUGACAUCGGUUAAGGAUAUGUGGAUUGAGCAGCCAAAGCUUUAAGGUAGAAUUAUGGGCAUUGUCAUCUUUGUGGAAAGUUAAUAUAUGAAUUAUUGAGUUAUAUUUGUGUUUAGAGUAUUAUUAGUUUGUAGUUGUUGGGUUAGAAACUUGUUGGGUUGAUUAUUGAUACUAGACUAAAACAGGUGGAUAGUCCGAUAAAUAGAGGAGAUGCUGCCGAAAUUUUGUUAGCAAAUAAGGAGGUGCUGUCAAUGUGCUAGUGGUUUGUAUAUAAUCAGAUAUGAGAUGAUAUACGAAAAGAAUUGGAUAGUCAUAUAUGUAUAAAUAUUAAUGCAUAUGAAUUAUCUGAUACGUGCUAAAACUACUAUUUGUUUAACUAUGUGACACUAUGUGUAUAUAUUAUUAGUAUACAGGAUGUGUCUAUAUCGCGAAGGGUAGAAAUAGAGUUCGAUUCUAUGAUUUAGGUGACGAUCUGGAUUGUUCUUCGACUGAAGUAUUAUUAUACUAUCUUGUAGAACCGAGCUAGACAUGCGUAUCGAGGACGUUAAUAAGUAGUCGAAUUGCAAAGCAAGUCGAAUCUGGAAUGAUCUGAUAAGACGAAGCUAUGUCGUGGAUGGAAUCUUGUCAAAAGCAAAGCGAGAAUAUACAGUAUAGGAAAGGCUCUACUAGGUGACAGGAAAAUAGGUUCUUUGAACAAGAAGGAAAGCGAAUAAGGCAAGUAACUUUCAAAAGCAAAGCGAGAAUAUACAGUAUAGGAAAGGCUCUACUAGGUGACAGGAAAAUAGGUUCUUUGAACAAGAAGGAAAGCGAAUAAGGCAAGUAACUUUCCUCUUUCUUUUAAGCAGCUUAAUGAUGAGUACUGUCACCUUUGAACUACCUUUUGAAUUAUGAAAGCCUGAUUUCCUUUCUCAUUGAAUAUGAUGUCUCACUUUUGAGUACAAGCUCUUUCAUGAUGAUCUUGCUUUUGUAUCCAGCAUAUUUUUAUCUUGAAAUAUCUUUCACUUGAUCGAAUGAUGUUUCCUUUCCAUGUACUUGACCUCACAAAAAUAUGGCACUUGUUUCUAUAAUUGAAACUAAGAAUGAUUUUAGACUUGCAAGUGUCCUAAUGAUUUGAAAGGUUGGUAAGUUUUUAAAAUGAAAGAGAUUUUUUUAAAGAAGAAAGUGUUCCAAUUUAAUGGUUUUCCACGGAAUUCUAUUGAUUGGAGGCGUAAGUGGCCGAGUAACGCCGGUCCAGCUAUUUGAUUAUGAAGACCAGUGAGGGCUGGCACAUUAUGAAGACCAGUGAGGGCUGGCAUUUGAAAGGCCAAAUGAUAGUUGCCUUUCGGGUACCCUAUUCACGUCCAGAGGGGCUGUAAAGUCCGGUAUGGGGAUUGUACGUGGCUGAUCACCCGUGCAAUCCAGAGCGUUAUACACUCCAAUCGAGUAAAAUGUUUCAUGAAAAUAAAUGUCCAUGUAAUUGGACUAUUUUGAAAAUGAGAUGAUUUUCGAGAUUGAAAAUGAAGCUUAAAUGAACAUUUUGAAAGAAAAUGUUAUGAAAAAGGAAAUUUUAUGAAAGUUAUAAGGAAUGAAUGGUUUUUAUGAACUUAUGGUUUAUAAAUUGGUUUCUUUGGAAUGAUCCUUAAUUUUGGAACCUAUGUUGAAAAUUUUGUAUCUUUGCUUAUAAUCAGAAACCUCCUAUCUUAUUCAGUUGCACCGUUGUCUUAUUUAUUUACUCUAGUUACUUGCUGAGCUUUUGUAGCUCAUUCUGUUCUUUAUCUAACCCUUUCAGCUAGAUACAAAGAUGGUUCGCUUGUUUGGGUUGCGCUUAAGAAUAACGCUAGGCAAGGAUUUCAAGUGAGUAUGUCAGACCUCGAUGGUCAGGAUAAGUAUUUUGGAAGAUGUCAAGGGAACUAGUUGUGAUUAAGAUGGUAUAAUUUUGAUUCAGAUGUAAAGCAGAUUUAAGUUUUGGUUAUCAGUUAUUCUUCUUGUCGAAGUUUAUCUGGUAAUGUAGAAUAUGUUGUAUUAGAUUUAUAUUUUCGAUUUUCUGAUUUCAAUACUAUAGCCUGUAUGCGAUCCUGUUUUCAGGGGGUGAAAUUGAAUUUUACUUUAAAUCAUUUUAAAAAUAUCUAGGUUUCAAAAUAAUUGUUUUUAGCUUCUUUCAAAAAUACAGGUUUUAAAUUGUUUUUCUUUUAGUGGCACCAAAUCCAGACCCCCGGAUUUGAGGGAUGUCACAU
rnacentral:lncRNA from 1 species